rnacentral:rRNA from 1 species
UGCCAGCCGCCGCGGUAAUACAGAGGGUGCAAGCGUUAAUCGGAAUUACUGGGCGUAAAGCGUGCGUAGGUGGUUGUCUAAGUCGGAUGUGAAAUCCCCGGGCUCAACCUGGGAAUUGCAUUCGAUACUGGAUGGCUAGAGUUUGGCAGAGGGAAGUGGAAUUUCCGGUGUAGCGGUGAAAUGCGUAGAUAUCGGAAGGAACAUCAGUGGCGAAAGCGACUUCCUGGACCAGAACUGACGCUCAAGUACGAAAGCGUGGGGAGCAAACAGGAUUAGAUA